rnacentral:snRNA from 1 species
GUUUGUUUUGGCAGCACAUAUACUAAAAUUGAACAAUACCGAGAUUAGCUUGGCCCCUGAGCAAAGAUGACACACAAAUUCGUGAAGUGUUCCAUAUUUUU